rnacentral:lncRNA from 1 species
AAGCUGGGAAAGGAGAGGCCAAAGAGCUACUGACUGUUGACCAUGCAAGUAUCACCUAAAUUCUUCUAUUUCAUGGCUCCUGUAUCUCCAGGAGAAGUCUUCUCAAAGAAAUAUCCAUGAAAUCCAUGGGCAUUGUGAAGCCAUCUUUCUCCAUUACCCAAACAUUCAGCAUCUACUGUUCCUUGGCAGAUUUCACAAAGGGCUGCACACCAGGAGACGAAAAGAAGAGUGGGGACCAUGCUUCCUGGAACUACCUCUACUGUGUGCCAGGGUGAUCCCACAUGAAUGCUCUUACUGCUGGAACCUCUACUAUCGAGUCACAAUAUCAGAAGGACCCAAAUAUUCAUUAAACGUGUCAGAAAAAUGUGAUUAACCUUGCUUGUACAUUAGCAAGUUAACCUGCCUCGGUUAUAUAAAUGCUGACAGAAGACAUGAGACUGCUGGACCAAAGGCAAAGGUAUAUUUCUGUGAAUUUUUCUAAUCCACAAGUAUCUUGAGGGGACACAGAAAAGCCUGGGUGUAUACCUGGUAUGCCUAUCCUGGUAGUAGGUGGUUUUGCAGUAGAGGAACUCUGGACUUAGGGAGCAUACAUUUUGUAUGAUGGGCAGAAAGCAUUUUAUUUUUGUUCUGGAUCAUUUUCUCUCUUCCCAAGGCUAUUUACUGAGUCAACAUAUUUUAAAGUAUAGUCUGGAACUAAAGGCCAUUAGUACUUCAUCCACAAGAUGGGCAGAAAUGUGAGAGACACAUUGAGAA